UACGUAGGGACCAAGCGUUGUUCGGAUUUACUGGGCGUAAAGGGCGCGUAGGCGGCAAUUCAAGUCAGCUGUGAAAUCUCCGGGCUUAACUCGGAACGGUCAGCUGAUACUGCUUUGCUAGAGUGCAGAAGGGGCAAUCGGAAUUCUUGGUGUAGCGGUGAAAUGACGCAGAUAUCCGGAGGAACACCGGUGGCGAAGGCGGCUUCCUGGACCGACACUGACGCUGAGACGCGGAAAGCGUGGGGAGCAAACAGG
rnacentral:rRNA from 1 species